AUGUCACUGCCCAGCGAUAACUCUGCCAUCUGGUCUACCUCACCCAGGCACAGGGCAGGCAGCGGUGCUCCAAUGUUUGGGAACUUUCGUAGCUUCAUGCCUUGGGCUCUGCCUUUCUUUUCUCCUCUGCUGUAUCUAGUGCCUCAGAGCAGCAACCAUCAAGCAGUGAGGAACUGGAGACGCCGCGGCCUGCACCUAGCCCUGCCCCACACCUGGCUCUGCAGCAAACCAGAGGGUUACCGGCACGGUGUGUUCCCGCAGCCGAGCAGCACUCUUACAGGGUGUACGCCCUCUGAUUUAUUCUAGACUGGCUCUACGUCUGCAGCAACAAGCAACCACCCAUCAGGGUAUUGCCAACGGGGCUGAAAUUACAUUGCCACAGCCAAGGAAGGUCGUUCAUGUUUAGUCAGCUCUGCUGUCACCAGGGCUCUGCCUCUUAACUUUGCUGGCCUGUCAUAGACAGGGUAAAGGCACAUCAUUUUUGUACUUUGCUAUAUAGCAUGGACACAAGUCUGGAAGGUCUGCAAAACUCUUUUUUUUUUUUUUCCAUCAGGUUUCAUUCAGUCUGCAUUUUUUCUGCUGCUGUGAAUUUCCCAGUCUCAUGGAAUAUCAAAUCGUUCGGAGAUACUGAUUCUGUUCCUGUUCAUAAAGGUUAGCAUCAUUUUACUCUUGGUUAUGAGAUCUUGUAAGGAACCUGUUUUUUAUUACAUCAGUCUACCUUAAAAAAGUAGAAACCAAAUAAACCCACCUCAAUCCUUUCUUUUUACUGCUGG
rnacentral:lncRNA from 1 species